CGUAGAGAGAAAGCCUGGGGAGAACACGACACGGUUCACUGGAGCGCAGCCCUCUCGCGUUACUCGCUCAGAAACUGGCCUCAGCGCCACGCGACUCGGGUUGUCUUCCUGCGACUCAGCAGCCCGCGACUCAGGGCCUCUCAGCUCUUCUGGUGGAUUCGAGCUCGGGUGCAGGAAUGCAAGCGGAAAAGCGGAAGGAGAAGAAUGAUCUAGAAUUUAACCUUCCUUCACGCGCGUGGACUUCGAGGAACUUCUCUGACGCCCACAGUCGCCAAGCAGGCCUUGCAGGUGGAGGAAGCAGCGUGGAGGAACCCCAGGGCGCCAGGAGCUGAGUCCAGCCCCGCGGAGUCUCUGCCCCAGGGCACGGCCCAUCUGCAGGGGAGCUGCGGAGGGAGGAGGCACCGAAGACGCAGGCUGGCUGACAGGCACGGCGCACCUGCCCUGUCUACCCAGAAACACGGCCACUGACAGGCGACAGGAGUGCCCGGCCACACGGAGUCCAAACAAUUUCUCUCCUCAGCUGUUGGAUUUUCAAACGUGAUCUAUAGAGUGAUGCUGACAGUAGAUUUUCUGCCAGCAAUAAAGGUGGCCUGAUUCACAGAAUAAUUACUGUAUGCAAAUGAAUGUGAUUUUCCUCUGCCCUUUUAUGGAUGACUCUGCUCCGCCAUUCAUCAGGGCCACAAAUUUCACUUGGGAGGAGACGGAUUUAAAGAGACAGGCGCCCCUGGAGCUUUGCAAUGAACUUACUAAAUCCAGGCUAAGUGUCUUCGUAAAUAGACAUGCAUAUGCCGGCAAGGGGGUCCCAGAUUCUCAUCUUUUUAUCUUGUCCUGGUGCUUGGAAAACUGUCGGGGAAACGCCUCACCUCGUGCCCUCCCCGGGUCUUGCAGGAGCUGCGUGCUAUGGGGGCUGGGGUCCCCCGGUGCCUUCUCCUCCUCCUUCUUCCAGGGCAGCCCCUCUGAGACAAGACGAGGGCGACCAGAAUGCUGCCUGCGUGGCAGGAAGAGCAGCAGAAGUGGCUUUUGUUCCGCACUGUAAUGGAACGGAAGGAAACACACAGAGUCCAGUGAGAAAGAGCCCUUGAAGACCGGCUCUCUUGUCUGCUCCUGACUUCCCGGGACCGGAUGGCGUCCCUGAGCUGGUGGUGCUGCGAAUGCCCAUGUACAUGGGCAUAUAGAGGUGUUUGCUCCUCCGGCUCCAUGCCAGGAAGAGGCGGGGAAUCCAAGGAACAGAAAUGUCACCAGGGCCUGGUGCUGGUCCGGGGACAGGAAGGCACAUUCCCAGCACGAGGAGUGAUGGGCUCCCACGGAGCAGCCACCUCUGCCGGUGGCUGGCUUGUGACCCGCACUGUGACAGCACAGUGACGCUGGCGCAUCCUGAGUGUUCUUUCGUCCGCUGUCACUCACAGAAUAAAGGGAAGACGCACGCUGUUUACACGUACAACGCGGCAUGCCCGCCGUGGCCAUUGCCAAGCCAGCCCAAAUUCAAGGCCACUGGAUACUGAGCUGUUCUGGGAGGACGAAACAGCUGGGCUGGGUCUCCAGCAGUCUUCCCAGGACUCGGGCGGGGAAAAGCCACGGUUUUGCAGACCAAAUCAAGCCAUGGCUUUAUUUUAAACCAAAACUUCAGGUCAAUAGUUGAUCAUGAAACUGGA